GAUUUAAAAUGAAGACAUUUUUUAAAAGAUUCGCAUUGUUUAUUCAGAUCACUAUGAUAUAAGGUUGGUUAAAAUAAAAAAAAAAAGAUAUAUUACGAAUAGAUUAUGUGACGUUUUUGAUGUUUGUGUAACAUUGAAGAUAGUAGGUAAAAUGACCUCAAAGGCUAUUGAGAUUGAUUCCUUAUAAUUAGCAUUAUAUUAGAAAGUGCCCAAAUGCAUUGCUAAAAGUCAUAAUUACGUAAUCUAUUAUUAGUAGUGGUACUACAAACGUCCGUAUUCUGCGCAAUAUAGAAUGCCGAUGUAUUUAUUGCAAUGAAUUUUGCGGGAUUUUUUUUUCGAGUAAACACUAGUGCUUUUUAAGGAGACUGCGUGGCCCUUAAAAGGGCUGUGAUGGGUGGGUGGCCUUUUUAUGAUAAUACCUAUCUCUGCCUCAUCGUCUGGAUUGCAUUUUCUAUACUUUUUGAGAAGGCGAACUCCAUCGUUACUGUCAGAUGUAUGCCGUCCUGCGUCGAAUGACAUUGGUAGUGUCAUGUCUCCAAAUCUUCUACUGUAAACUUUGGUUAGUAUUUUUUUUAGUAGAGACGCUUUCUUGUUGUAGUGUCGAUCGUGACGCGGAAAUAAUCCGGCCUGAAUGAGUACAGCGCUGUAUGCGGGAAAGUCACAUUCGACGUAAUGAUGUCCAAGUGUUGGUAGCUUUAGUCCGUAAUAACGUAAAACCAUAUUGUUUAUAAAGUUACAUAACUAUAAUUCUAUUUUUCAAUUUGUCAUUCUCAUUACAAAAUUUGAAACGAAAACCAUUGAAGCAGAUAUCUAGACAAGUGAACGUACAUGAUGGACAGAUGAAGAGAUUGAAAACAAUGGCAUACCAAAGUAAGUCCCAUAAACUAAAUGUAGUAGUGAUUUAAUGUAGUUUUUAAUAAAAUAUAUAAAACAUUGAUGCUGUGUUGUUUUGUUAUAUAUAUAUAUAUAGACAUGUAUAUGUAUGCAUGUAUAGAAGACCAGUAUGCAGUAUUUUACCUGUAAUAUGCCCAACAUGUACUUUAAUUUGAAUUUUCGAAUGCAGUGGAACCACGAGAAAUCUUCGAGUUAUCCGAGUUAUCGGGACAGAAAGACAAAAGUGGGUAUAUUUUAAGACACUGACCAUGAAUUAUAUUUAUCCUGUAACAAUAACAACUGUACAAAAUCUAGUCAUUUGAAGUGAAACAGUGCUUAGCAAACAUGGUAGAUUUGGCGUUUUAUCCGAUUUAAUAGACAGCACUGACCGGCGACUGUUUCAUUUCUAAACGUAGAUUAGUUCCGCUUGAGCGAGCGGGUAGAUGAAUUGUUGACUAUCGUGUGUACUGUUAUCGGCGACCGCCUUAAAUCUCUAUAAAAACCGCCCAAGGGGGGAGGCAGACAAAUCGUCACUAUAAAACGGUUGCUUAAGUUAUAGUAAUUGAAUGACUAGACGAGUGUAUCACGAGAUAUUUCGGUGGGCGGUUACGAGUUCGCGUAGCGAACGAGUAACGCCCACCGAAAUAUCAAGUGUACACGAGUCUAGGACAUUCAAUAAAAUGGCUUGUGUCAUGGCCCGUCCAUCGGCUGUCAUUAAACUUCUAAAAACCAAUCAGAAUUAUCUCGGGUUUCUGAGUGAAUUCCCCGCCAAAAGCAAUCAACGAUCAAUUAGGAGUACAUUUCCCGCCAAAAACAAUAUCAGUUACAUGUAGUUCAAUGCGCACCCGACUUUGUAAGCGGUAAGCAGCAGGAUGUCAACCCCUUCAGCUAGCUUAAUGGUCAGUUUAAAGUACAGGGAUUUCCUUUCAUUACAAGGGGAUGAUUUUGACGACAUUGUGUUAUCUCAAGCAUUCAAGGAUAUAGAAAACGAAGUGAAAGUUUUUGAUGGGAUUUCCGACAUGUCGCUGACACCUGUCGGGAGUUAACGGGAAGGGGAUGCAAAACAUAUUUAGGAGGACUGGAAUACACCAAAUUACCAGCAAGAACAGACAUUAUUACAACCAAGAAGGUGACCGAUGUAUUCCGGAGUACUUUGAUAUGUACAAUGAUGUAUAUACAGGAGACUUCUCGGAGGAACCCCCAUUUUUUAUGGAAGUCAGGUCGUCGGUGUAAACAAACCAAAACAACAUGUGAAAGUGAAAGGAAAUUACACAAAACUUACACUAUUGUACAAAUGCGGCGAACUGGACAACUGUUACGCGUUAUGUGAAAUUUGUGAACAGGGAAUCGUAUACAUAAUAUUUGUAACCAAACAUGUUUUUUUUCAAGUUUUAAUAACACCUAUGUACUACAGACCCUAUUCGGCAUUGAUACAAAAACAUCGAGAUCGCUGUAAACACUUGCGCUUGACCAGAAAAAAAAAUCAAACGUUACAAUGUUUAUUUUACUCACCUGUAUGUAAUUGGGUCUUAAAACGACCAACAGCCACAUAAUUAUUUUAAUACCAUGAUUAAUAAAAAAAAAAAAAAAAUGUACGGUUAUUACAAUGUUCCAAGCCCAGAUAGGCUUAGAUGAUCUGAUCACUUGUGUAUUAAUCCGUCACAGCGCCACCUAGGAAGGGCGAUCACACAUAACGGUAAAACCAAAAUCCGGCACAUGCUGGCUUGUUACGAACAAUGAAAGACUGGAUGUUUAUUUUACCUUCCGGUCAGUGCAAAGUUUUCUAAGAGAUUAAUAGCCAUUCUACUCACCUGUGGAUACACUGGUCAGUAAACAAAAGAUCGAUAAUUACGUAUACACACGCAAAUGGCCAGUUUGACACGAAUUACCGUAAGCUGUUCACGGCUCGGUACACCAGGUAAAUUUUUAGACACGACCAACUGGUCAUAAUUGUGGGGGUAAUUAACGUUAAUUAGUGGUCGUCGGGACUGCACAAGGUGGUCGUAAUACGGAAUAGCGGGGUGGUCGUAAUAGUGAAGCGACCAAUACAAAGAUAUAGAGAGAAAAAAUCGGGACUGAAAAAAAAGUGCCCGUAAUAGCGGGGUGGUCGUAAGGUGAGGUUUCACUGUAUAUAUAGAGGACACGGUCUUCAGCUUUAUUUUUCUGUGAUCGGAUUGACAUGAGGACACUGAAGUUUAAUAAUUACAUUAAAUAGAACUUACCUUGACUUUUUGCAUAGACAAAUUGGAAAUGAUUGUAUGCCUUGAAGUUUUUGUUUCAUUGAAGUUGAAAAUUACGGAAAUAAACUAAUGGUUCUGUGAGUUUUUGACUGUAUACGUUGCUGUAUACCUUCGGUAGCCAAUAACAUCCAAAUUUGGGGAGUUAGUGUACACUUUGAUGUACAAUUCCUAGUAUGUGAAGUUAUUGGACAACUAAGCUCCGCCUCUUAACUGGGUAUUGGGAUUUAUUGUACACGCAACUUCACAGGAAAAAUAGGUAGACCAUGAUACACACUAACUGUUCAUAAAACUAAUAAUACUGAUUUAUACUUUUUGUGUUGACAAUCAGGGUAAGUUCAUGCAAGGCCCAGUAUCGUUUCUUUGUUAUAACAAAAUUAUUAACGCAAAUCCAUAUAAAAGGAUAUUUAAACUUUAAUUUAAACCUUUUAGUUAUAGGCUGUAAUAAUUUGAAUAAUGAUUUAAUUAAACAUUGAAUUAACUUCCCUAUAAUGAAAUCUGCAUAAAUGGUUAUAUCUGCAUUGCUAACUUCACUUUGAAAUAUCUUUUUUUUUUCUUCAAAUUUUGGCUAAGAAAAACAUCAUUAAAAACUUACUGAAAUCAAUGCUGUAAAUAGACCCCUGUGGAUAACCUAUUUAAUUGAAAUGCAGAGUGACCUCACCAGGUGUUCCGAUUGACACACCUGAUGACCAAUUUUCACUUAUGCCUCCGGGUAUAGAAGAAGUGGUGGUAGGCCGAUCUUCACGACUCUGUGCACAAAUAUAAUAAAGUGUAGUUGUAGCUCUAGUCUGCCUUAGUUUGUUGCCAAUACCAAUAGUCUUUUUUUUGUCUAUCAAACAUGGUCUUUUUUCGUUUCUUUUAUCAGUCAUUUUAUCAAUCGAGUUUUAAACAAUAAUAAUGUUCAUUGAUUUAAAGGAAAGUUAUUAGUUUAAAAGAUCCACAUGACCCAUAACGUGAACAGGUUACUUUGAUUCAUAAUAAAAAAGAUAAGAUUCCGUUUUCAGAAAAUGCAGAUGUCAAUUAACAAAUGCUGCAUGCAUUGUACAGUAUAUUACUCUCCGAUUGGACAGCUAGUAUAUACUAUUCACGACUGUCUAGGUCCAAGCUCAUUUAAUUUAUUGACGUUUUAAGCAUUUAUUUUAAACAUUUACAGAUUUCAGAUUUUAUUGAUCACUAUGAAAUCACACGUUUCUUACUUCCAAUUUUAAUCCGGAAGAUUUUCAACAACGUGGAGAGAAGUUCGGGUCAGUCAUCCGUGUCGACAACUGAUCAGCUUGCCCGCUUACACAUUGUCAAAGCAACCGCUGCGAGGUCUUGGCCCCAGGCAUUUACCUGUGCAGCUCAGUUUUUGUAACGGUACUUUGUUUUUCACUACUUCGAUUUUAAUGAACGGAUUAUAGACUGGCCCUGUUUUUGUUUCAAACCUUAAGCAACUGAUAACUAGGGUAUCAACAAAUGCUAUUCCGUAGUUAGAACGAGUCCAUAAAAACAUACGCAACCAAGAUAAGAUUAUUAUUGAUCUGGAGUAAACAUCACAAAACACCUUUGUGCCACUUUUACAUUCUGUAGGGUAAUGAUUACGUAAAUGUACAGUAGCGGGACGUAGCUCAUGUGUACUGUUUGAAGGUCACCAUGACUAGUCCUAACCCUAAAUGAUGUUCCUCUUUAAAUUUCGUUUAUUUAAAAUUGUAGAAGGAAUGAAACGUAAACCAAAACAAUAAUAAAAAAAAGAAACAUGUAAAAUUGAUAUUCACAAAAACAUACCAAAUCAUUGAUGAGUUGUCAAACGUUUCCAAGUGUAUGUAAUCAAGGGAAAUAUCGCGUUCUCGACAAAUUUAUUCACAAAGUCCACGAAAUUCAGCAGUCCGGAAAACUCGUAAUCCAGACGGUUUGUGCUCGGACCAACAGUGUCCGGAUUAUCUUCGGUCUAUUGUACUGUAAUUAUUGGCUCAUGCAUUUGAUCCGAUGAAGGAACUAUGGUAUGUGUUUUAGUGGACAAUGGAUUAUUGACGUUUAUAAUGUAUUGGAUGUGUAAGAAUACGACAUGUACAAGUUUUUAAUUGUAUUUAAAGAUAAAUAUUGUGUAGAUCGUUUAGAACAUUGUUUUAUGAUAUAACCUUAUGUAGUAUCUUCAUCUUAAUCUUAUAUUUCUAGAUAUGUCUUUCUUCCUACCACUUUCUUUGCUUUCUUUGUAAUCAUAAAUAUAAUGUGUCGCUUUCACUAUCUUUGUAAUAUGAAUUUUAGGGAAAGGGAUUUUAUAAGUUGGUAAAAAUCUUUUGCCAUAUCCAAUUGUGUGUAAACGAUGAUAUAUAUAUAUUAAGAUAAGAAAAAUAUAUAAAGAGGGUUGGUCAUUUCCCGCUUAUCCUGACCUAGGCCACCGAUAAUCUGGACUAAACAAUCAAUACCAUAUGAAAUAAAGUAAAAUUGAUACAUUAAAUAUGAAUUUUACACUACCCAUCCAUAUAUGCCUGUUGUCGUCGCUGCAGUUCAUUUACAUUUUACCGUGAAUGAUACGGGGUAAAUCGGUUAAGUUAUGAUUUUGACUUUUUUUCAUGUAAGUGGAAAUUUUCUAUCUCAGCAUUAAAGUAAUCAACAGACAAGCACGAUAAGUGUGGUGUUGUAGGAAUAUCCGACACACACAACGCCAAUUGACGGGUAGUUUUAUGUUCAAAGAUGAGUCAAGAAUCCACUUAGAUAGCAGUUACGGCCGUAGCAGGACGUAUCGUCGUGUAUGAGAGAGAUUCUGAGAUAUCUGCGUCGAAGGACGACGUUCUCUUGGUGGUUGCAGUGUCAUGGCUUGUGGAGAGAUCACUGCCCAUGGGAUCACUGCCCAUGGCAGAACUUCUCUUGUAAGGCAAAGGUAUCAUUUCACUGAAAUUCAAUACAGAGAUAUAAUGAUUAAUCAUUGUACAACAUGUUGUGCCCUUCAUCCGUGCCCAAAAAUGUUAAGUUACGCUACAGCAAGACAAGGAGACAUUUCAAGUGCAAGUUAUUCUGAGUAAGAAAUAGAACGCAAAAACUAACGAACCUGAUAUUUUCAAUAUUACGAGUAUUGGAAUCCAAAACAAUGAGCAAAAACAAUACAAUGUAAUUCAAGUAACAGUAAUAAUCAGAAAAUUACAAGAAAUAACGUAAACAGGGUCCAUGCCUAUUAUCAUGACUAACAUAAUAUUACCGUGACGUGAAAUGGCGUGGAUAUUGAAAAAAAAAAAACACCAGUAUUGAUUUUUACGCGAUAUGAAACUUGUCUUUAUGUGAAUUAAAGCAUACCAUGACCCAUAACGUCAAUCGAUGGAAAAGACGCCUUGAAAAUGCAAUAUUCUGUGCCAUUUUACGUCAAAUAUUCUGUGCCAUUUUACGUCACGGUUAUGUUUGUCACAUUAAUAGACCUUGUCCCUAUCCUUUCAAAGAGUUAACGAUUGUCUACUUGAGUACACAUUUAAAACACAACCCGUCUCGUAGACGAACAUUUUCGUGUAAAAUACAAUACAUGCACCAUAUUUUUUAUUUGAGUUUCAAACAUUUAUACAUAUGUAUACGUUUUAAGUACAAUAAAUUACAGGAAAUAACGUUCAAAAUGAUGUCCUGUAUCCAGCUUACGCUGAGGGGCUUUUUCAUUAACGCACCAAACAAAAUCGCAUUCAUCUUAUGGCCGGGCGACAAACCUCUUAAAAACGAACACGGGAAUCACUGGCUGACAUUUAAUCUUUAUUUCAAUUCUCUCUUUCACAAGAUUAUAUAUACAGAGAAAAACAUACAUGUAUACAUUUCCGAUAAAUAGCUGUGGGAAAACAAUGUGGAGGCCUCCUUGGAAUAAACAAGCAUGAUAUAUGUUAUUCCGAUGUGAACGCACUAUUACAUAUAGGGACAUUGGCAUGCACAUUAAGGACAAAUCUUCACGUCUGCAUUUAUAUAUCUUUGUUGUUCGGAACUUCGGAAUUUUAUUUAGUCCCAACAAAUACCAGAGACAUAUAUCUAUGUCUCUGCAAAUACGAACCGUACACGGCGUACGUAUUUUCACCCAUGUUCUGCAGUAAAAAAAAAUAAUAAUAUGGGACACGGCG